rnacentral:rRNA from 1 species
GAUGAACGCUGGCGGCGUGCCUAAUACAUGCCAGUCGAGCGAACAGACGAGGAGCUUGCUCCUCUGACGUUAGCGGCGGACGGGUGAGUAACACCUGGAUAACCUACCUAUAAGACUGGGAUAACUUCGGGAAACCGGAGCUAAUACCGGAUAAUAUAUUGAACCGCAUGGUUCAAUAGUGAAAGACGGUUUUGCUGUCACUUAUAGAUGGAUCCGCGCCGCAUUAGCUAGUUGGUAAGGUAACGGCUUACCAAGGCGACGAUGCGUAGCCGACCUGAGAGGGUGAUCGGCCACACUGGAACUGAGACACGGUCCAGACUCCUACGGGAGGCAGCAGUAGGGAAUCUUCCGCAAUGGGCGAAAGCUUGACGGAGCAACGCCGCGUGAGUGAUGAAGGUCUUCGGAUCGUAAAACUCUGUUAUUAGGGAAGAACAAAUGUGUAAGUAACUAUGCACGUCUUGACGGUACCUAAUCAGAAAGCCACGGCUAACUACGUG